GUCAGGAUGGCCAAGUGGUCUAAGACGUCAGACUCAAGUUCUGGUCCUUGUGAGAGGGUGUGGGUUCAAAUCCCACUUCUGAUA
rnacentral:tRNA from 1 species